UGUUUUCUGCCAUUUUCUCACUAUCUUUACUUUCUGUUGCAGACACUUUCUAUGCAGUUGGAACAAAUCACCUCUUGGCACCUCUGAGUGGGAACAUAAUACAAAGUACAUUCUGUAUUCACCGAGCACUGUGAACCAAGCAUCCUGA
rnacentral:lncRNA from 1 species